AUUGAACGCUGGCGGCAGGCCUAACACAUGCAAGUCGAACGAGUGGCGGACGGGUGAGUAAUGGCUGGGAAACUGCCUGAUGGAGGGGGAUAACUACUGGACACGGUAGCUAAUACUGCAUACCAUCAGAUGUGCCGAGAUGGGUUUAGCUUGGUGGUGAGGUAACGGCUCACCAAGGCGACGAUCCCUAGCUGGCCUGAGAGGAUGACCAGCCACACUGGCACUGAGACACGGUCCAGACUCCUACGGGAGGCAGCAGUGGGGAAUAUUGCACAAUGGGCGCAAGCCUGAUGCAGCCAUGCCGCGUGUAUGAAGAAGGCCUUCGGGUUGUAAAGGACUUUCAGCGGGGAGGCGUUACCCGCAGAAGAAGCACCGGCUAACUCCGUGCCAGCAGCCGCGGUAAUAC
rnacentral:rRNA from 1 species